CGUUCUCGGAGUGACUAACUAUCGCGUAGUUUGGAACAAGACUAUUUUCGGCUCCGACGAAUCGUCGUCGUCUUCGACUUUGUGACCAGGAAGUUUGGGGUAAAAAUCUACGACCCUAUUGGAAUUCAUCCGCAUCUGAAGCACGUCGUCGUGUUAUAGAGUUCACGGGUUCUCGGGGAGAAGACCGUACGAAACAUUCGAAAAAUUCAACGACAUCCAGAAACGUCAGGACGGAAAACUGGCAAUAACUGCAAAACUGUGACAACGAGACGGCGACGUCGCGACGCCGCCCCAGCUCGUCUUCGCGCCGAUCGUUUUCAUCCGAAGUG
rnacentral:misc_RNA from 1 species